CAGAGAGGAUCCUUAACAGAAUCACUGAGGGAGAUUCUGACAUGGAGUUAUCAGAGGAUGAGAGUCCAGAGAGAGUAUGAGACAGAAGAGGGUGAAAGCUCGGGUGAGGAGGACCCAGAUGAGACAGAUGAUCUCCUGUUGAAGGAAGAAGGAAGACUCUUUUCUCUUGUGUUUUGUACGCUGCAGGAAUCCUGACUGGUUUUUUAGUACCCCGAACAACCCCUCUUGCUACACCCUUUUGGAACCCUUGGAUACCCCCUUUGGAUUGCCCCCAUCAUCGCCCUGGAUUUGGAUUCAUCAUCAUUGCCUCUACAUUAACUUGCCCCUGUGAUUGUGGGGGUGGGACAAAUAUUCUUCUUCGACUGUCAUAAAGUCCUCGUUACCUGACCGGGAAUCGAACCCGGGCCGCGG